GUCAGAUCUGAAUGUCCACGCACGCAUUCAAACCACCCAUAGGAAAGCAUUACUCAAUGCUUUCCUAUGGACGUCCAGCGUCUUCUCACUGUGAUUUUCACAGUGAGAAUUGCGGAAGCGCCUCUAAUGGCUAUCAGUGAGACAGCCACUAGAGGCUGGAUUAACCCUAAAAUGAGCAUGCAUAUCAAAAAGCCUCAGUGCGUCAAUCAGCAUCCCCUCGAGAGAGGCAUCGAGUCAUU